GAUGAACGCUGGCGGCGUGCCUAAUACAUGCAAGUCGAGCGAACAGACGAGGAGCUUGCUCCUCUGACGUUAGCGGCGGACGGGUGAGUAACACGUGGAAAACCUACCUAUAAGACUGGGAUAACUUCGGGAAACCGGAGCUAAUACCGGAUAAUAUAUUGAACCGCAUGGUUCAUUAGUGAAAGACGGUUUUGCUGUAACUUAUAGAUGGAUCCGCGCCGCAUUAGCUAGUUGGUAAGGUAACGGCUUACCAAGGCGACGAUGCGUAGCCGACCUGAGAGGGUGAUCGGCCACACUGGAACUGAGACACGGUCCAGACUCCUACGGGAGGCAGCAGUAGGGAAUCUUCCGCAAUGGGCGAAAGCCUGACGGAGCAACGCCGCGUGAGUGAUGAAGGUCUUCGGAUCGUAAAACUCUGUUAUUAGGGAAGAACAAAUGUGUAAGUAACUAUGCACGUCUUGACGGUACCUAAUCAGAAAGCCACGGCUAACUACGUG
rnacentral:rRNA from 1 species